CAAACAUGACUUUGAUCAGCCUCAGCAUCUUGCUUUUCAUCCUCACUCACGAAUCCAGAGGACAAGUGACUGUGACUCAGGCUCCAGAGCUGAUAUCAGCUUCUUCAGGACAGACAGUCACUAUAAACUGUAAAACCAGCAGCUCUGUGUAUACUAAUAGUAAUGGCCACCACAUGGCCUGGUACCAGCAGAGACCUGGAGAAGCUCUUAAACUCUUGAUCUAUUACGCAAGUACCCUUAACUCUGGGAUUCCGUCUCGAUUCAGUGGCAGCGGAUCUAGUUCUGACUUCACUCUGACCAUCAGUGGAGUCCAGGCUGAAGAUGCAGGAGAUUAUUACUGUCAGAGUGUCCAUAGUGGUCCUAUGUUCACUUUCGGCGGCGGUACCAGGCUGGACGUUGGAAGUAACAAAGCCCCCACCCUGACGGUCCUGCCCCCCUCCAGUGUGGAGGUGUCCAGCAAGAACACGGCCACUCUGAUGUGCCUGGCCAACAAGGGCUUCCCCUCCGACUGGAAGCUGAGCUGGAAGGUGGACGGUAGCAGCAAAGCCGCGGAGACGAGCCGCGGGCUCCUGGAGAAGGACGGCCUGUACAGCUGGAGCAGCAGCCUGAGCCUCACUGCGGACGAGUGGAAGAAGGCGGGCUCAGUGGUCUGUGUGGCCAAUCAGGGCUGCCAGGCUGCUGUCACUCAAACGCUGAAGAGGGCCGACUGUUCAGAUUAAAUGAGCUCAGCGUCACUUGUGAUGAGC